GAUGAACGCUGGCGGCGUGCCUAAUACAUGCAAGUCGAGCGAACGGACGAGAAGCUUGCUUCUCUGAUGUUAGCGGCGGACGGGUGAGUAACACGUGGAUAACCUACCUAUAAGACUGGGAUAACUUCGGGAAACCGGAGCUAAUACCGGAUAAUAUUUUGAACCGCAUGGUUCAAAAGUGAAAGACGGUCUUGCUGUCACUUAUAGAUGGAUCCGCGCUGCAUUAGCUAGUUGGUAAGGUAACGGCUUACCAAGGCAACGAUGCAUAGCCGACCUGAGAGGGUGAUCGGCCACACUGGAACUGAGACACGGUCCAGACUCCUACGGGAGGCAGCAGUAGGGAAUCUUCCGCAAUGGGCGAAAGCCUGACGGAGCAACGCCGCGUGUGUGAUGAAGGUCUUCGGAUCGUAUAACUCUGUUAUUAGGGAAGAACAUAUGUGUAAGUAACUGUGCACAUCUUGACGGUACCUAAUCAGAAAGCCACGGCUAACUACGUG
rnacentral:rRNA from 1 species